UUUCCGUAGGUGAACCUGCGGAAGGAUCAUUACUGAGUGAGGGCCCCUCGGGGUCCAACCUCCCACCCGUGUUUAACGAACCUUGUUGCUUCGGCGGGCCCGCCUCACGGCCGCCGGGGGGCAUCUGCCCCCGGGCCUGCGCCCGCCGAAGCCACCUGUGAACGCUGUCUGAAGUAUGCAGUCUGAGACAAUUAUUAAAUUAAUUAAAACUUUCAACAACGGAUCUCUUGGUUCCG
rnacentral:misc_RNA from 1 species